AUGCUCACUUCAGCAGUAUGUGUACCUAAAAUAGAAUAAUAUAGAGAAGAUUAACAUGGUCCUUGCACAAGAAUGUCAUAACAUUUGUAAAGCUUUCAGUAUUUUU